rnacentral:rRNA from 1 species
CCAGCUCCAAUAGCGUAUACUAAAGUUGUUGCAGUUAAAAAGCUCGUAGUUGAAUUUCUGGUCUCGGACAUCGGUCUGCCUCAAACGAGGUACGUACCUGUUGUCUGAAUCCAUCCUCGGGGAAAACGUAUCUGUCAUUCAGUUGAUGGGUAUGGGAUCCUCGUCAUUUACUGUGAGCAAAAUAGAGUGUUCAAAGCAGG